UCAUUACUCGUGGUGUAGGGGUUUAAGGACGCGACCCAUAUACAGAGGCUUUAGUCAUCGACGUAGCAGUCCCGGCCCAGGCGACAUUUGCCGCAUGUCUCCCCCUCUCUCUCUGCCUCUGUUUCCCGUCUAACUCCUGUCAUAAAAUAAUGGGAAAAAUAAAGGCCACUAGUGCCACAAAAAAAAGAAAUGAUCAUUAUUGUUAAUAUUUUUUUAACUGCCUUUUAUGAAGUUACAGUUUAACAGUGUCUCUUCCCUGGUUUUAUUGACCUACCCCUCUUAUGUUCCAGAGGAACAAACGAAGGUCCGGAUCCAGCAGCCAGACCUUUCGGUCCAAAGGAUUUCUACUCCAGGCUCUGAUUUGUUUUCAGGCAGCCUGCAGGCUUGCUGAGGAGUGUGCGUCAGAGCCUGCUCUGAUGAAGAACCCAUUUACAGCCCCUUAUAAACACAGCGAUGCUCAGGAUUCACUGGAAUCUGUCUGUCAAUGUCUGCUGCGCUGCUGUGAUUCUGUGUGGAUACCAACUGUGCUUGUAAGGGCUAAAUACAGUUAUAUACUUCAACUCUGAA